rnacentral:rRNA from 1 species
GACGAACGCUGGCGGCGUGCUUAACACAUGCAAGUCGAACGAAGUGGCGAACGGGUGAGUAACGCGUAAUCAACCUGCCCUUCAGAGGGGGACAACAGUUGGAAACGACUGCUAAUACCGCAUACUGAAGGAGGGGAUUGCGUCUGAUUAGCUAGGUGGGGGGGUAACGGCCCCACAAGGCGAUGAUCAGUAGCCGGUGUUGGGGGAUGGACGGCCACAUUGGGACUGGGACACGGCCCAAACUCCUACGGGGGGCAGCACUGGGGGAUCUUCCGCAAUGGGCGAAAGUCUGACGGAGCAACGCCGGGUGAGGGAUGACGGCCUUCGGGUUGGAAAGCUCUGUUAAUCGGGACGCGGUACCGGAAUAGAAAGCCACGGCUAACUACGUGCCAGCAGCCGCGGUAAUAC